AACGAACGCUGGCGGCAUGCCUAACACAUGCAAGUCGAACGAGACCUUCGGGUCGAGUGGCGCACGGGUGCGUAACGCGUGGGAACCUGCCCUUAGGUUCGGAAUAACUCCCCGAAAGGGGUGCUAAUACCGGAUAAUGUCUUCGGACCAAAGAUUUAUCGCCUUUGGAUGGGCCCGCGUUGGAUUAGCUAGUUGGUAGGGUAAAAGCCUACCAAGGCGACGAUCCAUAGCUGGUCAGAGAGGAUGAUCAGCCACACUGGGACUGAGACACGGCCCAGACUCCUACGGGACGCAGCAGUGUGGACUAUUGGACAAUGGGCGAUAGCCUGAUCCAGCAAUGCCGCGUGAGUGAUGAAGGCCUUAGCGUUGUAAAGCUCUUUUACCCGGGAUGAUAAUGACAGUACCGGGAGAAUAAGCGCCGGCUAACUCCGUG
rnacentral:rRNA from 1 species